AGGUCACGCUCACCUGACUGACUUCAACAUAGCAACAAUAAUCAAGGAUGGGGAGAGAGCCACAGCCUUAGCUGGAACCAAGCCCUACAUGGCCCCAGAGAUCUUCCAGUCUUUUGUAAGUGGAGGGACGGGCUACGCCUUUGAAGUAGACUGGUGGUCACUAGGGGUGACAAUCUUCGAAGUGCUGCGUGGAUGGAGGCCCUAUGAUAUUCAUGCCAGUAACUCAGUGGAGUCCUUGAUUCAGCUCUUCAGUACCGUCAGUGUCCAGUACAGCCCAGCCUGGCCCAAGGAUCUGGUUUCCCUUUUGAGGAAGGUGAGAUCGACUUAAUGCAGCAUUAUUCAGUUUAAUCUCUUUCAUUUAAACAGUGAAAUUCUCCCCAGAAUUUAGAGCCGGAAAAUCGUUUCCCACUGAGAGAUAAAACUAUUAUUAGUCAUUUUGAUGUAGUUUUACAUUUUAUGCAAUAGUUAUUUGUAUUAGCUGCCAAUAAAAAUGACAACUGCAGAGAUUUAUUGAACAGAAUUGGAGCUGUCCCUACCUCUUAUCCCAUAAUUAUUUUUGAAAAUUUCCACUUGAAUAAAUGUUCCCAUAUUUAGUCAGUGACAGCUUCAUAACUGUGAGGACAAAAUGUAAAACCUUGAGCUCUGUGGAUAAGAGACACAACCAAGCCAGAACUGGAUGUGAAAAACUUAAACAAAAAUGGACUUUCACUUUUACCAUCUAUUUAAAAAAGUAAAUUAGAGAGUAGAGAGAGUAAAUCACAGUGAUCCAGUGUCAGUGGUAUUAGUGAACCUGUUAUAAAACUGCAGUUCUGCCAAAUCUGAUGCAACAGAAAGGGAGCACAAAAACAGCUACAUCCCUUUUCAUCAUAGUAGUAUCAGGUGACCUCUUCAUUAUAUUGACAUGCUCAGCAUGCAUUUUAAUAACAGAUACAGCCUGGUUCUAAUGCUGGCAUCUCUGGCGUGAAAAGGGUUGACACUAGAAAUUCAAUGGUGGUGCAGAGGCUUUGACUUUAUAUACACUCACUGGCCACUAAUUAGGUACGUCUUGCCAGUAAAAGGUUUCAGAACUGCUUUAAUUCUUCAUGGCAUAUUUUCAACAAGGUGUUGGAAAAGUUUCUCAGAGAUUUUGGCCACGUGAUUGGCUGAUAAGUAAUUUGUGUUAACAAGCAAUUGAACAGGUGUACCUAAUAAAGUGGCCGGUGGGUGUAUGUCAAGUGUGGCUUUUGCAUUUUGCACCUUUUUUUUCUCUAUAUAUUUUCCAUCCAUCCAUUAUCUAUAUACCGCUUAAUCCUCAUUAGGGUCGCGGAGGGCUGGAGUCUAUCCCAGCUGACUCAGGUGAAGGCAGGGGACACCAUAGACAGGUCACCAGUCUAUCACAGGGCUACAUAUACAGACAAAUAGUCACACUCACAUUCACACCUACGGACAAUUUAGAAUCACCAAUAACCCAAGCAUGUUUUUGGAGGAAGCCAGAGUACCCGGAGAAAACUCACACAUGCACAGGGAGAACAUGCAAACUUCAUGCAGAAGGAUCCUGGGAUCUUCUAGCUGCAAGGUGAAAGUGCUAACCACCAAGCUACUAUGCAGCCCUAUUAUUAUUUUAUGAUCUGUAUUCCUUAGUAUGUUGGUUUUGAGCUACUUUUGUGAGAAAGAUGGCUAGAUGUUUAUUUUUUAAACAAAAUAUGAUGAAAAUCAAUCAUUUUAGAAGUGAAAUGAUGGGUUGUUUUACUGAUUGUGAUCAUCAAAAUGAUCUACAACUACUUUAGCUAGUGGUUGUUUCAAUCAUUUGCCAAAAAGACUAAAAAUUUCCUGUUCCUGGCAACUUGUUUCUUUUCUUGGAUUUGCAUCACAGUAAAUUCUACAUGUUUGGAUUGUUGGUCGGACAAAACAAUGAAUUUGAAGUCAUCUUGGAACUUGUGGUCGUCAGUUUUCACUAUUUUCUAAACCAUCAAUCAAUGAAUCAAAAACUAAUCUGCAGAUUUAUUAGUAGUGAAAAUAGUCAGCAGCUGUAAUCAUUUUUGAAGUUCAAAAUACAGUUUGGUAAAACCUGAAUGUUUUGGAGGAUGUCAUGGAUGUGAAUUUUUGCACCAUAUAAGAGUGAAAAUUGGAGAGUGGCAGUGUAAAAUUCUUCAGUCCCACAGGUGAUUAACUCCUGCCUCACAUUCAGGUUUACAAAAUACACAGACUGACUAAACGUUGUCAGUACAGAUUGCAUUAUCCUCUAAUUUUUAGUGAGCACAGAGCUUCACUUUCACCUGUAAAAGUGACAGACCCUGCUGUCAGUGAAGCAUAUCAUCUGUCACUAAUUCACCUUUAUUUUGUAACUUGGCUGUUGUCGAGUUACUGGAUUGUGGAAACACCACUCUGUGAAACUAUUAAGUAUUUCUGUAGUCGCAACAAAUCCAGCAGAGCAUAUUGCAGGACAUCCCCACUGACUGAGCUUCAGGUUACAUUUCAGAUUAAGUGAAAUCAAAGUAAUUUGAUGGUGACCUUGCUGCCUGGAUGCAGAUGGUGUUCCCUAGAAAGAGGAGCAGGAUGAAAGCAGGGCAGAGGUGACGCUAAGAUUUGUAUUUUGGUAAAAAGUCACUGAAGCCACAGGAACAGAGGAUACAUGUUCCAUAGGGGGGCUUGAGCUGGAGGGAGGAGGAGCUGAGACCCUCAGGGCAAAGGAGGGGAAAAAACGACAGAUGGGAAUCUAAAGGAUGGAAGCACAGAAACAGAGCAAGUGUGUGAGGGGAGUUACUGUGUGUGUGUGUGUGUGUGUGUGUGUGUGUGUGUGUGUGUGCACAUGUGUGUCUGUGCUAUUAGUCAUGAUAACAAGUCAUUUAACCCAAUAUUGUCGCUCAAAAUGUGUGUUCUUACAUGUGAAAAUGUGCCAGUUGGAUGAAAUAAUUCGCUUUGCGUCGAAAGGAAAUAGAUCUCAACACUUUUCUUGAAUCACGCUCAUUUUCUCUACACUCAUAACCUACCUUAUCCUGCUCUGUGUCAACAUGUCAUCUGAACAAGAGGAAACAAAUUAUCUCGGGCCCUAUGGCAGUUCUUCUUAACUCACUUGAAGACAAGACAUUUUGAGAGAGUAUGAAAAACUGCGGCUUGUUCAGGAGGAUUUUGUUUUUAUUAUUAUUUUUGCAGAGUGCAAGUGUGGGCAUGAGUGUGUGCAUGUGCUCUUGCGACUGAAUGAGUUAGUGUUCUGGACGGAGCGAUGGUCUCUUCCGCUCUGCUGCUGAUCAAUUACCAUGUCUGGACUCCACCGAGACAGUCCUAACCGGCCCUGCAGGAGAAAACUGAAUCAGCCUGUGACCAAAAGAAAGAAAAUAAAGCACAGGAGGAGAGUUAACAUGACAAGAAACUCCACUCCCAUUAUCAUUUCCAGCCUUUACCCCAAGGUGAAAAAUGAAACAGAUGGUGUUCAAUUAAAAACACAACUGUAUCAGCAUCAGUUUUUAUCUUCUCCCUGGAAUAAAUGACUCCAGUCAUGUGUGUCAUUCAUCUGUCUUGAUGAGUGAAACAAUUUUGAUUCAAACCUGAUGAGUGAUUGAUUAACAGUGCCCCCUGUUGGUUACCAUAUUAGUAAAGGCCAGUUUUUCUUACAUUGCACUCCUCAGUCUUCAUCAUUUUUAAAUGAAUAUUUAUGAAGUAUAUAUAUUCAUAUUAAAAACUGCAAAAUUCUGAAGAUUAUUGUGCUCUUUUGAAGCUCUUUUUACUUCAUGGCACUUUUUAUUUCAUGACAGUAGUGCUGUCACCAUUUCCUCACCUUUCAGUCAGUCACAUGUACAGCGCUUGCUACCGCAUUUAGUCAAUUUGAUGAAACUGAACCUUUGUCAAACACCUCCUUCAGGGAAAAUCAACAUCAUUUUUACCUUGAUUACAUGUCCAUAUUGUACUUUUUGCUAGAAGACACAAAUGAAUUCAGCAGCAUUUCUGCAAUGACAAUCCAAAAACAUGGAUGCAUACUUCAUACAUAACAAACCAAAGGAACCAAUCCUGUCAGCUGGCAGGAUGGAGUUCUCUGUACCAGUAUUGUUGUUCAGAAUCAGUUUCUGGCUCAAACAUGUGUCUCUGAAUUACUCACAUAUUACAGCUUGCCAUUGUGCAGAAUAGACUUGUUUAACAUUGUUUGAACAGAGUUGAAGGUGAGCUGGUGUGCUUGAGUUGGAGAGAUUGAUUUACUGGUUUGUAUCAAGCACUUCUUACACUUUGGAGUCUUGAUCACCCAGUCUGUAUUUUUUUAUUUUUUUUAUUUCCAGUAGCUACCAACUGACAGUUGUCUCUAA